AAUCUGGACUUACAGUCGAAGCUGAAGCCGUCUACUGAACACCCACAUCCUAUAUUUUCAAGCCAUUUCCCUCUACAGAAUGAAGUUCUUGGCCAUUGCUGUCACCUUGUGCCUCGCUGUGGUGUACACUCAGGCUUUGCCAGCCGAAAUGCCAUCUUCACCACUGCUGCUCAGUCGGGUGGCCAGGUCACCUCAGUUCCCUCCACGAGACUGUGUCCCGUGCACGUGUAAAACGACCAUCACUAAAAUUACCAUAAUCGAACAUGAAGUAAAGCCAGCAGCCGCAAGGUUCGGCGGCGGCCGCCCGUGCUGCCCAUGCCCAGCUUUUCCCUUCUGAUACCGCUGUUUCUCAUGGACUGAUGACGUCAAUCUUCUCAACAUGUUCUAGACGGAAAAUCAUAAAAAAUCCAGAAAAAAAUGAAUCAACUAAAUGUUAUAUCAAAAAAAAACACUGAAC